rnacentral:rRNA from 1 species
ACGAACGCUGGCGGUGUGCUUCACACAUGCAAGUCGAACGAGGUAGCAAUACCUAGUGGCGGACGGGUGAGUAACGCGUAGGAAUCUGCCUUUAGAUGGGGGAUAGCAGGCCGAAAGGCCUAUUAAUACCGCAUAUGUAUAUGUUCCGACAGGGAUAUAUAUGAAAGGAGCAAUCCGUCUAAAGAUGAGCCUGCGUCCGAUUAGCUAGUUGGUAGGGUAACGGCCUACCAAGGCGACGAUCGGUAGGUGGUCUGAGAGGAUGAUCACCCACAAUGGAACUGAGACACGGUCCAUACUCCUACGGGAGGCAGCAGUGGGGAAUUUUACGCAAUGGGGGAAACCCUGACGUAGCGACACCGCGUGAGCGAAGAAGCCCUUUGGGGUGUAAAGCUCUGUCAGCUGGGACGAAACAAAUGACGGUACCAGCAGAGGAAGCAUCGGCUAACUACGU